rnacentral:rRNA from 1 species
AGGACGAACGCUGGCGGCGUGCUUAACACAUGCAAGUCGAGCGGAAAGGCCCUUCGGGGUACUCGAGCGGCGAACGGGUGAGUAACACGUGAGCAACCUGCCCCUGGCUCUGGGAUAGCCUCCGGAAACGGGGAUUAAUACCGGACAUUCACUUCCUUCCGCAUGGUUGGUGGUGGAAAGUUUUUUCGGCCGGGGAGGGGCUCGCGGCCUAUCAGCUUGUUGGCGGGUAACGGCCCACCAAGGCGACGACGGGUAGCC